CUACGGGAGGCAGCAGUGGGGAAUCUUAGACAAUGGGGGAAACCCUGAUCUAGCCAUGCCGCGUGGACGAUGAAGGCCUUAGGGUUGUAAAGUCCUUUCAGCUGGGAAGAUAAUGACGGUACCAGCAGAAGAAGCCCCGGCUAACUCCGUGCCAGCAGCCGCGGUAAUACGGAGGGGGCUAGCGUUGUUCGGAAUUACUGGGCGUAAAGCGCACGUAGGCGGAUUGGAAAGUUGGGGGUGAAAUCCCGGGGCUCAACCCCGGAACUGCCUCCAAAACUAUCAGUCUAGAGUUCGAGAGAGGUGAGUGGAAUUCCGAGUGUAGAGGUGAAAUUCGUAGAUAUUCGGAGGAACACCAGUGGCGAAGGCGGCUCACUGGCUCGAUACUGACGCUGAGGUGCGAAAGUGUGGGGAGCAAACAGGAUUAGAACCCUAGUAGUCC
rnacentral:rRNA from 1 species